rnacentral:misc_RNA from 1 species
GACGAAGAACGCAGCGAAAUGCGAUAAGUAAUGUGAAUUGCAGAAUCCAGUGAAUCAUCGAAUCUUUGAACGCACAUUGCGCCCGCCAGCAUUCUGGCGGGCAUGCCUGUUCGAGCGUCAUUUCAACCCUCGACCUCCCUUUGGGGAAGUCGGCGUUGGGGACCGGCAGCACACCGCCGGCCCUGAAAUGGAGUGGCGGCCCGUCCGCGGCGACCUCUGCGUAGUAAACCAACUCGCACCGGAACCCCGACGUGGCCACGCCGUAAAACACCCAACUUCUGAACGUUGACCUCGAAUCAGGUAGGACUACCCGCUGAACUUAAGCAUAUCAAUAAGCGGAGGA